AGGACGAACGCUGGCGGCGUGCUUAACACAUGCAAGUCACGGGGGCCCGCAAGGGCAACCGGCGAACGGGUGCGUAACACGUGAGCAAUCUGCCGAUCUCUGGGGGAUAGCCAGCCUAACGGCUGGGUAAUACCGCAUACGCUCGUUGGGGGGAGUCCCCUGAUGAGGAAACCUCCGGGGGAGAUCGAGGAGCUCGCGACCUAUCAGCUAGUUGGCGGGGUAACGGCCCACCAAGGCAGCGACGGGUAGCUGGUCUGAGAGGAUGGCCAGCCACAUUGGGACUGCGACACGGCCCAGACUCCUACGGGAGGCAGCAGUGGGGAAUAUUGCGCAAUGGACGAAAGUCUGACGCAGCGACGCCGCGUGUGGGAUGAAGCCUUUCGGGGUGUAAACCACUGUUGCCCGGGACGAAACUCCUCUUUCGAGAGGAUUGACGGUACCGGUGAGGAGCACCGGCUAACUCUGCGCCAGCAGCCGC
rnacentral:rRNA from 1 species